AUUGUAUUACUUAUUAAUCUAUGGGAAUAACAUAUCUACGCGAAUUAUCGCAUGCCUGGUGUGACGCCCCCAAAUUCGGGUACUUGAAACCCUUAUUCAGUGCUCACAAUAUCAAACAUCCAGAAUAUAAUAAACAUAAACUUAGUAAAGUUAUUACAUCAAAGUUCUUCUAAUCCCAGGUACGUAGACCUUUAAAUGUUCAUUACAUGAUAAUUUAAUAUUUACAAACAUGUAAACUAUCUAUUACAUCAACUCCCAGCUAUUCUGUUACUUUUCCUUUUCCCUUGUCCUUUCCAGACCCUUCUGCCCGAGUCUGAUCAGCUGAAAACAUUUAUAACAAAACAAGUAUGAGCAUUUAAUUGCUCCUCAAGUAAUAGCAUUCUUUAAGGCUCAACAAGAAAUAAAUGUUUUCUUUGAGGCACGCUUUGACAAUGAAUCAAAACUGUAAAGCAAUAAAUCUCGAAUCAUUCACAUUUCUGGAAUAUCAUAACAAUAUUGAAUAACUGAGAGGUUUUAAGACCAUGAACAUAUUUUUCUUUUCUUGAAAAGGUUCAAUCAGAAAUAUUAUCCGAUGAACCGUCUUAUCUUACGGGCACGUAGGGUGAUCGGCCCUUUAUGCCCUGUAUUGAUCAAUACUAUCUUUUCCAGAACAAUUUUCAUGUUCUACAUCACCACUCCCAGAGUGCAAUAAAAAUAUCCCAUUUCUGGGUAUGUUCAUUCUCAGUUUUAGAUUCCAACUACAACAAUAUAGCUGGAUAGCUUAAAUCAUGGCACAACAAUAAUAUUUCAAAACUAAAUAUAAAGAAAUUAAAAUAUUUUACAUCUGUGUCUGGCCAGAAGGAAUGGCUCAGACUCCUUUGCAACAUGUUCCUGCAUGUUGAAUUGCAUUAGAUAUACAUGAUAAUACAUUACUCAAUCUGUUGAAGCUGAUUGGAAUAAAAAGAUUAUUCAAUCUUAUAAUAUUCAAAAAUAAGGAAAGACAGUUCAGAAAUUAGAGAACCUGUCAACAUAUGAAUAAUCUCAUAAUACUUGCUCAUUAAAGAGUUAGAUUUAGAUACUUGCCUUGUUUGUAGUCUAUUUGUACAAUUUCAGCUUAACUUGUGUAUUCUCAUAGAUCCUACACAAUUAUUUGCAUUUACAAACAUAUUAGCUAAGUAGACAAGUCAUUUAGCUUGUAUGUUCACAUAUCACAUAAGCACAGUGAUCAUGUUUUUAGUUUAUAUCCUAUAUUUGGAAUAUUUUUAUACAUUUUUCAAAUAUCUCACCCAUGUUCUUAUAACAAUUAUUUUUCUUUUAUAGGGUCUGACAUAAGUUCUGCUCAUUGGGUUUAGAUCAUAUUUCUUUUACUUCCUUCAUUUGUCAUAAAUAUACUUUGCAAUUUUCCUUAUAAUUAGGUAUUCAAGGUGAACACCUAAGGUAUUUCAUGUUUCAUGAUUCAUAGAUUCAUUCUUAUAUGCCAGUUCGCUACAAAUCCUUGUUUUAUCUUAAAAUGUUUAACCAGCCUUGUUCAAUUACUUAUGAUAACUCUUAUUAUUGAGUCUACUAAAUUACUUAUUUACCUACUAGUAUGCUUAUACGAAACAGUCAUUACUGUAGCUGCUAAACAACAGCAGUUAGUUUUCAUUCUCUUUGUUAUGGUUACAGGAAUUAGCUAUACGUUGCCACCAUUAUGCAGCAGAUCCCUCCUUUGUUGCCAAUCUUGUUUAAGUUACGAUCUUAUUAUAUAUUAUGCUUAUAUUUCUAUUUGAAAUUUAGAAGUUAAGACUUACAAGUAAACACUCAAAUUACAACACAUAGCCAAAAAUGGCUUACCAACGCAGCAAUAGCAGCUGCUCGCUACUGCUCACUGCUGUUAUAACACAGCAGACCCUUUUCCCCAAUCCCUUGUUUUAAGAGAUCAAAUUGGUGGUGUACUCACCCCUUUAAAAAAGUAUUAGUCAACAGAUAUGGGUUAAUACAAUUAACAUCCAUAAGAGUAAGAGAGAACUCCUUGUAUUUCGCCCAAAACAGUCAACUGUUGCUGCCGUUAGUCAGCAGCCCCCCUCUCUAAAUGACUACCUUGUUAAACUUUUAUUCCUUACAUUCUUGGCUUGUUUAUAUGGAGUUUUGAAAAUAACAUAAUUGUUACCUCCACUAAAGGUUAUUAAGAUAACCUAUUAACAUCAACUACUGCUAUUUCCCACUGCUGGCUAAGAGCAACAGUUUCUUCCCUUCCAUGCUUAACACUUCAGCCAUCAUUUCUUUUUUUUUUUAUCAAUAUAGUGAUCCACAAUACAAAACAGUGUUCUAGACAUUACUCAGCUGCUAUAUACCUGGAACAUUAGUUGGGCAAACUUGAGGGUCCAACUAUAAAUAUAAACUCAAGAGAAGACUUUAAAUCGAACAACCAUUGCUGCUGCCAAAGCAGUAACUUUGCACACUAGGCUUCCACUAAUUUCAUUUUUCUAAACUUUGUACCAUAGAUAAGUUUACAUCAACUCUAGAUAUAAUACACAGAGUAUAUGGAAGUAUUUUGAGCUAAUUGAGUCCCUUCAUGCAGUCUUUAUAUACUGCCCAAAACAGAGUGUCCAAGUUACAUGACAUACUAAGUCUAACUUUUCAAUGUUAAUUUAAAAUUUGAGCUUUGUUCUAGCUUGACACACACCAACCCUCUAAUUAGCAUCACAUAUGAAUAAUAAAUUAAGCCCAAGCUCUAAUUCUACCAAAAUUCUGAUUUUAGAUAAAACAGUUCAUUGAGGAAUUUUAUCAAACACUUACAGACAUUGUUUUGCAACACAAGUGUCAUAGCUAUUUAGUUUUUGUAAAUCCCCAGUUAAGCCCCCUUAUUACUCUACUGCCACCUAUCUCCUUGUGCCUAAAAUAUAUCCAUAGCCAUCAAUUACACAGAGCCACAUACAUGUCAAUUAAUUGAUAAUCUAAUUAAUUUUAUUCUCUCCAUAACAUGCAAUUCAUUUGAUAAACACAUAUCUAUAUAUAUCACAUAGAUUUCGCUCCGGUUUAAGCAAACCUAUUGACCAACUUCAAUUUUAACAAAAACAAAAAAAAAUAAGAGGAAGAACUAAAAGUACAAUUAUUAAAUUCGUACCUUCUGUUUGAUGUGUUCUCGCUCAACUCACAGCUCCUAGCUACAGUAGUUCUUCUUCCUUAAUAACCCCCAAAUUUGGGUAUGCUUCUAAUUCAUAAUUGUGCAACCCAGCUCGUAGAAAUUACAGAGUUUUGAUUUUUUUUGCAUACUGCUAUUUGUGUGUUACUUAAGAGAAAAACUGAACUUAAGAGUUGAAGCUCUGCUCUAUAUAAACACCAAAUAUGCAAAUCACGUAAUAGGUUAUAGGCAAGCUGAGUUAUUUAAGCUAAGUUUAUGAUUAAAUGACAGCUCAUGCUAAACUAAUGGGUCAUUUCCUGAUUAAAUGCCAC
rnacentral:lncRNA from 1 species